GAUGAACGCUGGCGGCGUGCCUAAUACAUGCAAGUCGAGCGAAUGGAUUGAGAGCUUGCUCUUAUGAAGUUAGCGGCGGACGGGUGAGUAACACGUGGGUAACCUGCCCAUAAGACUGGGAUAACUCCGGGAAACCGGGGCUAAUACCGGAUAACAUUUUGAACCGCAUGGUUCGAAAUUGAAAGGCGGCUUCGGCUGUCACUUAUGGAUGGACCCGGGUCGCAUUAGCUAGUUGGUGAGGUAACGGCUCACCAAGGCAACGAUGCGUAGCCGACCUGAGAGGGUGAUCGGCCACACUGGGACUGGGACACGGCCCAGACUCCUACGGGAGGCAGCAGGAGGGAAUCUUCCGCAAUGGACGAAAGUCUGACGGAGCAACGCCGCGUGAGUGAUGAAGGCUUUCGGGUCGUAAAACUCUGUUGUUAGGGAAGAACAAGUGCUAGUUGAAUAGGCUGGCACCUUGACGGUACCUAACCAGAAAGCCACGGCUAACUACGUGCCAGCAGCCGCCGUAA
rnacentral:rRNA from 1 species